UUUCUUUUUUUUUUCUUUUUUCUUGUUUUUUUAUUAUUUUAUGUGCACAUAAA
rnacentral:ribozyme from 13 species